UACGGGGGGAGCAAGCGUUGUUCGGAUUUACUGGGCGUAAAGCGCGUGUAGGCGGUUCGGUAAGUCCGCUGUGAAAGUCGGGGGCUCAACCCUCGAAAGCCGGUGGAUACUGUCGGACUAGAGUGCGGAAGAGGCGAGUGGAAUUCCUGGUGAUAGCGGUGGAAAUACGCAGAUAUCAGGAAGAACACCAAUGGCGAAAGCAGCUUUCUGGGACGGUACUGACGCUGAGACGCGAAAGCGUGGGGAGCGAACAGG
rnacentral:rRNA from 1 species